UAAAAUUGAGAAUGGAAAUGGGGAAUGUGUCAAAGAGACAACAACCCGACCAAAUAAAAAACAACAGCAGAAGGUCACCAACAGGUCUUCAAUGUAGCGAGAAAUUCCCGCACCCGGAGGCGUCCUUCAACUGGCCCCUAAACAAAUAUAUACUAGUUCAGUGAUAAUGAACGCCAUACUAAUUCCAAAUUGUACACAAGAAACUAAAAUUAAAAUAAUACAAGACUAACAAAGGCCAGAGGCUCCUGACUUGGGACAGGCACAAAAAUGCGGCGGGGUUAAACAUGUUUGUGAGAUCUCAACCCUCCCCCUAUACCUCUAACCAAUGUAGAAAAGUAAACGCAUAACAAUACGCACAUUAAAAUUCAGUUCAAGAGAAGUCCGAGUCUGAUGU
rnacentral:lncRNA from 1 species